rnacentral:rRNA from 1 species
UACGUAGGUGGCAAGCGUUGUCCGGAUUUAUUGGGUUUAAAGGGUGCGUAGGCGGCCCCGUAAGUCAGUGCUGAAAUAUCCCGGCUUAACCGGGAGGGUGGCAUUGAUACUGCAGGGCUUGAGUAAAGUUGAGGUAGGCGGAAUUGACGGUGUAGCGGUGAAAUGCUUAGAUAUCGUCAAGAACACCGAUAGUGUAGACAGCUUACUAAGCUUUAACUGACGCUGAGGCACGAAAGCCAGGGGAGCGAACGGG